rnacentral:rRNA from 1 species
UACGGGGGGGGCAAGCGUUGUUCGGAAUUACUGGGCGUAAAGGGCUCGUAGGCGGCCAACUAAGUCAUACGUGAAAUCCCUCAGCUUAACUGGGGAACUGCGUGUGAUACUGGAUGGCUUGGAUUUGGGAGAGGGAUGCGGAAUUCCAGGUGUAGCGGUGAAAUGCGCAGAUAUUGGGAAGAACACCAGUGGCGAAGGCGGUUCUCUGGGACGGUACUGACGCUGAGACGCGAAAGCGUGGGGAGCGAACAGG